GGUUCGAUUCUGGCUCAGAUUGAACGCUGGCGGGAUGCUUUACACAUGCAAGUCGAACGGCAGCACGGACUUCGGUCUGGUGGCGAGUGGCGAACGGGUGAGUAAUGUAUCGGAACGUGCCUAGUAGCAGGGGAUAACUACGCGGCGUAGCUAAUACCACAUACGCCCCAUGGGGGAAGCGAGGGGACCUUCGGGCCUCACUAUUAGAGCGGCCGAUAUCGAUUAUUGAUUGGUGGGGUAACGGCUCACCAGGCGGCGAUCGUAGCUGGUUUGAGAGGACGACCAGCCACACUGGGACUGAGACACGGCCCAGACUCCUACGGGGAGGCAGCAGUGGGGAAUUUUUGGACAAUGGGGAAACCCUGAUCCAGCCAUCCCGCGUGUGCGAUGAAGGCCUUCGGGUAUAUGCAAGCACUUUUGGCAGAAGAAACGGCACGGGAUAUUACCCGUGCAGCUGACGGUACCUGCAGGUAAGCACCGGCUAACUACGUGCCAGCAGCCGCGGUAAUACGUAGGGUGCAAGCGUUAAUCGGAAUUACUGGGCGUAAAGCGUGCGCGAGCGGUUCGGAAGAAAGAUGGCAAAUCCCAGAGCUUAACUUUGGAACUGCAUUUUAACAUUACCGAGCUAGAAGAGGCUCAGAAGAGGAGGCGAGAUUUGCAGCAGUGAAAUGCAUGGCCUGCAACACCGAUGCAGGCAUCUCCUGGGUGCUACAACGGCGCUCAUGCACAGCGAUGGAGUAAACAGGAUCGACACCUGGUUCAGUCACGCCUAAACGAUGUCAACUGUAUUGGAGCCUUCUGGGCACUGGCAGCACUAACGCUGAGGUCAGGCCGCCGGAUCUCGGUGCAGGUAAAACUCAGGAGUGACGGGAUCGCACAGCGGGCAGAUGUGUGGGUUAAUUCGAUUACGCAACACGCGAAAACCUUACCUAUUCACACACCAACAUAUCUGGAUCCGGAAAGAUUUAGGAAUUAUCGCAAGGGGGACCGGAACUCAGGUGCUGCAUAGCGUGUCAAGCUCGUGUCGAGAUGUUGGGUUAAGUCCGCAGCACAACCUGUGUCAUUAGUUGCUACGAAAAGGGCACUCUAAUAGGACUGCCGGUGACAAACCGGAGGAAGGUGGGGAUGACGUCAAGUCCUCGCGGCCCUUAUGGGUAGACUUCACACGUCAUACAAUGGUCGGGACAGAGGGUCGCCAGCCCGCGAGGCCAAUCCCAAGCCCGAUCGUAGUCCGGAUCGCAGUCUGCAACUCGACUGCGUGAAGUCGGAAUCGCUAAUCGCGGAUCAGCAUGUCGCGGUGAAUACGUUCCCGGGUCUUGUACACACCGCCCGUCACACCAUGGGAGUGGUUUUACCAGAAGUAGUUAGCCUAACCGUAAGGAGGGCGAUUACCACGGUAGGAUUCAUGACUGGGGUGAAGUCGUAACAAGGUAG
rnacentral:rRNA from 1 species